UACAGAGGUCUCAAGCGUUGUUCGGAUUCAUUGGGCGUAAAGGGUGCGUAGGUGGCGUUGUAAGUCAGGUGUGAAAUCUCGGAGCUCAACUCCGAAACUGCACUUGAUACUGCAAUGCUCGAGUACUGGAGAGGAGAUUGGAAUUUACGGUGUAGCAGUGAAAUGCGUAGAUAUCGUAAGGAAGACCAGUGGCGAAGGCGAAUCUCUGGACAGUUACUGACACUGAGGCACGAAGGCCAGGGGAGCAAACGGG
rnacentral:rRNA from 2 species